rnacentral:rRNA from 1 species
CCCUUAGAUGUUCUGGGCCGCACGAGCGCUACACUGAUGCAUUCAACGAGUCUAAAACCUGCUCUGAUAGGGGUGGGUAAUCUUUUGAAUGUGCAUCGUGAUUGGGAUAGAUGAUUGCAAUUUUUCAUCUUCAACGAGGAAUGCCUAGUAAACGCAAGUCAUCAGCUUGCAUUGAUUACGUCCCUGCCCUUUGUACACACCGCCCGUCGCUCCUACCGAUUGAAUGAUCCGAUGAAUAUCAUGGAUUGAGGAUGCAAGCAGGUUCGCCUGUCUUCAUCUUCGAGAAGUGAAGUAAAUCUUAUCAUUUAGAGGAAGGAGAAGUCGUAACA